rnacentral:rRNA from 3 species
AGUGUGAAGGCAUAGAGCCUUCACUUUUGUACACCGUAAGGUGGUGUACGAAUAAGGGCUGGGCAAGACCGGUGCCAGCCGCCGCGGUAAUACCGGCAGCCCGAGUGAUGGCCGAUAUUAUUGGGCCUAAAGCGUCCGUAGCUGGCCGGACAAGUCCGUUGGGAAAUCUGUUCGCUUAACGAGCAGGCGUCCAGCGGAAACUGUUCGGCUUGGGACCGGAAGACCUGAGGGGUACGUCCGGGGUAGGAGUGAAAUCCUGUAAUCCUGGACGGACCACCGGUGGCGAAAGCGCCUCAGGAGAACGGAUCCGACAGUGAGGGACGAAAGCUAGGGUCUCGAACCGGAUUAGAUACCCGGGUAGUCCUAGCUGUAAACGAUGCCCGCUAGGUGUGGCGCAGGCUACGAGCCUGCGCUGUGCCGUAGGGAAGCCGAGAAGCGGGCCGCCUGGGAAGUACGUCUGCAAGGAUGAAACUUAAAGGAAUUGGCGGGGGAGCACUACAACCGGAGGAGCCUGCGGUUUAAUUGGACUCAACGCCGGACAUCUCACCAGCUCCGACAGUAGUAAUGACGGUCAGGUUGAUGACCUUACCCGAUGCUACUGAGAGGAGGUGCAUGGCCGCCGUCAGCUCGUACCGUGAGGCGUCCUGUUAAGUCAGGCAACGAGCGAGACCCGCACUCCUAAUUGCCAGCAGUACCCUUUGGGUAGCUGGGUACAUUAGGUGGACUGCCGCUGCUAAAGCGGAGGAAGGAACGGGCAACGGUAGGUCAGUAUGCCCCGAAUGAGCUGGGCAACACGCGGGCUACAAUGGUCGAGACAAUGGGAUGCAACUCCG